AGAAGAGAACGCACACUUCCACGAACGAUAUAUCAUCAAAGAGAUAUGUGAAAAACACCUUGAGGAUUGAUUCUAAACAACGUUUACCAUGUUUCAGUCGAUAUUAUGGAGUCAAUUUGGAAAAAGUUUGGCGUUUUGAUGACUGAAUUUUUGUUUUUUUUGGUAGCCAAACGUGACGCACCAAACGAAGCGAUUUCUCCUAAACAAAUAAUCUUUCAGGAAAAACUGAACAUUUGCUAUCUAACUGAGUCUCCUCAUUGAAAACAUCCGAAGUUCUUCAAAGGUUUUUUUCGUAGCUAAACGUGAUGAACAAAAACAGAGCGAUUUGUCAUAAACAAAUAAUCUUUUUGGAAAAACUGAACAUUUGCUAUCUAACUGAGAGUCUCCUCAUUGAAAACAUCUGAAGUUCUUCAAAGAGUUACGUGUAGUCUGGCUGUGUGUUAUCAUUUUAACUUCCAGUUUCCAAGAUUAUGUUUCUGUAUGCAGUGCUGCUGCUCUGCACAUUUGUAGCCAGGUCCCAUCUACUUUUUAACUCCUCACAACUAAAGUGGCCAAAACAAGAACAAGUCUGUGCUCUGGUAUUGUGCCUGGUGGACCAUGCAAAAGCUACAUCACAGUCCACACCAAGUUGCCCCCCCGACUAGUGCUUCAGCCUCAUCAAGCAGCGCUUCAGAAAGACCAGAGUGAACACUUUGUCUGAGAUUGCUGGUGUUGUGAAGGACAGCACUGACAGGGGUCAACAUCCCACAGCUGGUUGGACUGGAGGAUGGUACGGUGUUGGUGGAAAGCUAUCUGCUGGCAACAACACCUGACUCCAUACUUCAGGCCGCGGCCACAGAUCAAGCAAUACCAGCACUUCAGCUCUGAUGCUCUGGAGCCUGGUGUUGUUGUCACCAAGGAGUGUUCGGACUCAUUCGGGACCAGGUUUCAGUUGCUGUGCAGCGCUGACAUCCUUCCUCCCAUAGAUGGUCUGCUUGUACAAGCACCACCCGGACUGGACACAGCUAGACAAACUUAUCUUUUUGAGAUCAGAGAGUUUUGCUGACGAAGAGGCUAUGGACAACACAUGCCCUGUGCCUAACUCAAGGGCAGGACAGAAAGAGGCUCUCCAAAUAAAGAUUUCCUGCGUGGUUCGGACAGACCAGUCAUCAGCACUAUCUGCAGUGCCUCUAUUCAAAUUACUCUCUCCUAACACACACGCUAUAUGUUUCUGCAUUCAUUUUUUUUAUCCUGCUGCUCAGCCACUUUACCCCUGAUUGUAUGCAUAUCCUAAUCUAUCACUG
ensembl:lncRNA